UACAGAGGGGGCAAGCGUUGUUCGGAAUUACUGGGCGUAAAGGGCGCGUAGGCGGCCCGCUAAGUCGAACGUGAAAUCCCCGGGCUCAACCCGGGAACUGCGUCCGAUACUGGCAGGCUUGAAUCCGGGAGAGGGAUGCGGAAUUCCAGGUGUAGCGGUGAAAUGCGUAGAGAUGUGGAGGAACACCGAUGGCGAAGGCAGCCCCUGGGUCAAGAUUGACGCUCAUGCAC
rnacentral:rRNA from 1 species